rnacentral:tmRNA from 1 species
UGGCUUUGCAAUCCGGCCGGAAGCGCUUAUAUUCGUGCCUGCCGGCUUGCCGGCUAUGGCGAUAAACGGCCGAUGCAAUAAACCAUUCGGACCCGGGGGCGGUACCCGGCGCCUCCACCAUGAACCGCCGGAGAAAAAGGGCGGCUCCUGCUGGGGGCGAAACAGGAUCGACGAGGGUGUAAAGAUCGGACUUUUGCCCGGCAUGAUACCACCGUUAUCGGGUCAAAACUGUAGUUGCCAACGACAACUAUGCUCCGGUUCGUCUCGCUGCCUAAUGGCGGUGUGACUACGGAAACCAAGUCCUGACGGGUAGCACCGGCAGGCGGGGCCCGGAGGCGCCUGGCAACAGAAGCCUCCACC